rnacentral:rRNA from 1 species
ACGAACGCUGGCGGCGUGCUUCACACAUGCAAGUCGCACGGAAAGGCCCUGCUUUUGUGGGGUGCUCGAGUGGCGAACGGGUGAGUAACACGUGAGUAACCUGCCCUUGACUUUGGGAUAACUUCAGGAAACUGGGGCUAAUACCGGAUAGGAGCUCCUGCUGCAUGGUGGGGGUUGGAAAGUUUCGGCGGUUGGGGAUGGACUCGCGGCUUAUCAGCUUGUUGGUGGGGUAGUGGCUUACCAAGGCUUUGACGGGUAGCCGGCCUGAGAGGGUGACCGGCCACAUUGGGACUGAGAUACGGCCCAGACUCCUACGGGAGGCAGCAGUGGGGAAUAUUGCACAAUGGGCGGAAGCCUGAUGCGGCAACGCCGCGUGCGGGAUGACGGCCUUCGGGUUGUAAACCGCUUUCGCCUGUGACGAAGCGUGAGUGACGGUAAUGGGUAAAGAAGCACCGGCUAACUACGUG